rnacentral:lncRNA from 1 species
UUCAAAUGGCCUGGCAGGAAGUGCUCUAGCAGAGGGACUCUGGCCUUGCAAGAGUCCCUAUUUCCCCCUUUUUUUUUGCUUUUCACACAGUAAAACCCUGCUUUACUUCCCUUUGAGUCGUCUGUGAGCCUAAAUUUUUGUGGCUGUGGGAAGGACAAGAACCCCAUCUUUAGCUGAAAUAAGGAAAAGUUCCGCAACAUUUUUGGCACACACCCUGGGGGCUCCGGAAGUGAAAGUUCCCAGGAGAUGAAGACAUUGAAACUGCCAUCAUAAAAUUAAUAAAAGGUUCAAGAUUAGAAUUAUGGUAUUGGCCUGGAUUUUGUUAAGACAGAGACAUAGGAUUAUGUUGGCUCGGAGAAUGAUACCUCAAAGGCUGGUGCUGAGAGUUCUUAGAAGCUGCUUCAGAAUCAAGUUGUCUUCUCCUCAUAGUCCUCCACUAAAGCCUGAACAACAAG